rnacentral:rRNA from 1 species
CGGGGGGGGCAAGCGUUGUUCGGAAUUACUGGGCGUAAAGGGUUCGUAGGUGGCUGGCUAAGCCAGACGUGAAAUCCCUCAGCUUAACUGGGGAACUGCGUCUGGGACUGGCGAGCUUGAGUGCAGGAGAGGAACGCGGAAUUCCAGGUGUAGCGGUGAAAUGCGUAGAUAUCUGGAGGAACACCGGUGGCGAAGGCGGCGUUCUGGACUGCAACUGACACUGAGGAACGAAAGCCAGGGGAGCAAACGGGAUUAGAUACCCCGGUAGUCCUGGCCCUAAACGAUGAAUGCUUGGUGUGGUGGGUAUCGAUCCCCGCCGUGCCGGAGUUAACGCGUUAAGCAUUCCGCCUGGGGAGUACGGUCGCAAGGCUG